rnacentral:lncRNA from 10 species
CAGCCUUCCGCCCAAGGACAAAUGGGGUCAGGGCAGCAGCUGUACCUGGCGAGAAUGCACUCCCUUCCUGGGGGGCCACUUUUUUCCAGGAGUGCAUGGCCCUGGGCUGGCUGCUGAGACCUGUGCCCAGCCCCUCCGUGGUGGUACUCUCGUCAGACACCAGCCUCUGCGGCACCCAGGGUGGAGGUCCUGCUAUCUCCUCUCUGCAGAUGAGGAGUUCUCUCAUCCGAACCUCACGGCUCAAGGAACAGAAAGCUGGACCAACGGUGGUCAAAUACAGUGGGCGCUUAACUACCUCAUGGGAGUGAAUGGAAAGGAGUUCCCAAGGACCCCGGGUUCUAGCCCCAGGGCCCUGUGGAUGGAUCUCACGUGGAAAGGGGGCUUUGCCUCUCAAGGAUCUGGCGAUGCGGAGAGCAGCCUGGGUUAUCCUGCCACGAGAAUCUAAUACAUUCAUGAAAGGAGCCUGGAGGUGGGUGGCACCGGCGUUGAGAAGGAGGUAAUGACAUCACCCAGGGCCCUGGCUCCUUUCCCUCAGUCAUCCUUGAAUGUUGGCUACUUGUUCUCUGGCUCCUGACCUCACAGUCACAAGACGGCUGCCACUGCUCCAGGCGUCCCAUCCUCACACGACAGCCUCUGAAGCAGAGAGUGAGAAAGGGCAUGGAGUGGCAUCACGGUUCAAAGCUGGCAGCCCCUGGUCCCCAGACUGCACCGGGCCAGUUCCAGCUUCUGGGGCCUGAGAGGCACGGGCCUCGGGUUCCCUGUGAGAAUUGUUCCUGGUGAUAGACCUGUGGGCUCUCUGGGGGCUGAGCGAGAGCCGUCCUAACGGGGAGAUGGCCCAUCCAGGGCCAACACGGCACCUGUGCGUUCUCCCAUCCUCCUUCCCAAGGGAGUCCUGGCCAGGCCCCUCUCCUGUGUCCGAGGAGUCUUGCCAGCCCUCAUGGUCUGUGUCACGAUCUGCAGUAGCUGUCCCAUCAGGGCUGAUCUGGAAGGAGCCUUUCCUCCACAUGGCUUUUCCCAAGUCAGCCCUCAAGUGCUGUGAGCCUGGACCGCGCCCCUGUCCUCCAGGCAGCUGCCUGCACUCCACACCCAUGCGCGUGGCAGCUCUGCGCCCAGCAGCCCUCCUGGUGUGAUUUUUAUUUAUUUACCUGAAUACUGGAACAGCUGCUUUAUUGAGAUUCAUUGGUCGCAAGGCUUAAUUAAAAUAAUGCCACGCGUCUCACUCAGCGUGGGUCACCAAAGCAAAUGUUUGUUUUGCUGCUGUCAGUUAGGGCCACGUGUGAUGAAGCGGCGGCUCCCGGCAGGGAAGGCACGUGGGCCCUGACCCCCUGCACCUCCCUGGGUUGCA